CGAUGAACCACGUAAGUCAUUCUCUGUUAUUAUAGGAAGACAGCGACACAACGCUGCGCACGUUGCGUAAUGCCACCACAACCGCUCGCGCGCAGCGUGAACAGGUCGUAUUCAAAGCACAGAGUCGAUUACGUAACAAAGUAAAAAGUAAUGAAGGAAAUCCUUCUUUUUUUUUUAAAGUCACGCAUUUGGAGGCGAACAUUAAACAUGGGGAGAAGGCGUUGAUGAAACGGGGUUAGGCACACUCUUCUUCUUCUUCUUCUUCUUCUUCUUGUUCAUCGACGACAUGACAACAGGUAAAUUCAACUGCGUCAGCGGACGAGCCACAUGGGGACCUGCGGGAAUUUCCGCCUGCGCGUGCUGCGGCUGAAAUGCGAUGCGUUGUGCCACCGCGGCGAUGGUAAAACGAAGACGUAAACAACGCGCGGAGCGGAUGGCGUGCGACGGGAGAAGUGGGAAUAGGAUGCUGCGCAGCAGACGGGUGGUGCGUAAUUCUGUUGUUGUGAGCGCAGGAGGAUGUUACGCAGUCGCUAUCGGCACCGUCAUUCAACACCUCACGCUGUUGUCUUCUUGUACCAUCAGUGAUUUUAUAAGUAUAGAUACACAUUUCAACGACAGGGCAAUUCAAAUGGCUUAAAACCAACGACUGACACGCGGUAGACAAUAAAAGGAACGCACGAUAAAGAGGCUUCCCGCUCGUGGUCACGCACUUUGGCGCACGCGAGGCUGUUCUGUUGUUUUGCGAAAACCGUAAAAUAAAAAAUAAAAAAAGCCGAAACGUUCACUUCGCGGGUGAGAAAAAGUCACUGGUGACGCAGCUUGUUUUUUUCCCUCAGAUGUCAAACAACAAUCCGCUGCGUCACGAAAGACACCACUAGGUCCUUAAUAGUAAUCUGGCUUUUUAGUGCGCACUUGUUAUGAUGAAAACGAGCUCUGUUUCAGGACCGCGGGGGGCGCUGCUGAGUAACAACCUGUGGGGCUGUGGUCAUCUGCUGGGAAGGGAUGUCGACGCACAGCUUCAUUCCUCCCAACGCGCAGCAGACGGGACGAACUGAAGUGAUGAGGGACGGGGGCCGUAGAUCAUCGGCCCGGUUUUGAGUCAGCGGGAGAGUGAAGCGCUUCGAUUGGUGCGUCCGAGUCGCAGCUGAACGACUGUAGGUUCACCAAUACGUCCAAGACGUUCAAUGUACCGACUGUUUAAAUGUUCAGAGGCGGUUGAAGAAAACACUUCACCCUGCCGAUCAAUUAGGAGCCCUAAUCUGUAAGAGGAUUAGCCUGCUACCUUGUUUACUAUUCCUGUCACUCACAUGCAGGCGUUCAGAGCUGGUCUCACCUCACCUACUCUAAACAUGACCCGACCCAGUGGCUCUGCCCGGCGCACAGAACACCGCGUGUCAUUUCAUCAUUUCAUCAUUUCAUCCACAGGUUUUUGCUGGAGGGAUUAUUUCUGUGCGUUUACCGUUAGUCAAUACGCAGCUUCCCUAUUGCUCAGCUGGAUUUUCUGUUUUUGUUUUAAAAAGGAGGCGGAUGUGCCUUUAACAAGCAGUGAGAUGGUCAGGUGACUUGGCAAAAAAAAAGAAAAAAGAAAGAAGCUUUGACGCAGAAAGCAGCCUCCGCACACACACACAAUAGCUUGUAUUAAAGCGAGCAGCAGAGAGGUGGAUGCAGAGUUCACGAAUAGCGUGGUGACGUGGGAGGAGUCGGGGCAGCACAAACAAGGAGGAGACGGGUGAAAGCAGCGGCUCGGGCCUCCCCGCUGCACCGUCUGCCCGGAGUUAUCCUCCGAGCCGACGCCGCACGCCUGUGAAUACCGGGAGCGCUCGUGGAAAUUGGAGGAUCUUCGAAAUCUUUCGCUCGGGGUCGGAGUCGUUAAAACAACGGCGGCCGUCACAAGGGCCCCCCCCCCCCGAAUGUGAUUAGCGCCUGGCGGGAAUGUAACCAGUCAACUGCUCUCGUUCCAGAAGCCAUAAAAAAAAAGUAGCAGCGAAGAGGAUUAGGGAGCGACAGACAGGGAAGUCGUCCCCAAAAGACACACGGAGGUUUGGGAUUAGUUGCAGCGUCUGAGACACUUGACGGGGCAGAAAGAGUUGACCUGCCUUCGCGGCCUCGGUUGUUGUGCGGUCAUUUCAAAAACGAGCGCUGCGCAGACGCCACGCACGCCUCACAGCGCCUCAAACUGAUCAACCCUCAACUAUUUUAGGACCUGUUUUUUGUUUCUUCUCUUUUUCAUCUCGCGCCACAGUCAACAACCAGGGACCCGGGGGGGGGGGGCGGCGGCCCGGAGGCGGACCCGGGAGAGGACACCGUAUCCUAUUGUGCGUUACAAAGAAGUCUGCAGGGAGCUGCGGGGAUCUGUUCCUUUCCACAGUGGGGUUCAUAGACAGUUUUUUGUCAGGAUUCAUCCCUGGUGCCGGGCUGCCGCCGGGGCGCUUUUCUCACACCGAGAUCACGGCCAUCCGAUGCUCGCCGAGCGGACGCGACUCGGGGCUUCUUCUCGCCGGCGAAGAGUCUGCAUGAGUUUUUUGGCUUCACUUCUGUCCGUCGGACUCUGGGAAAUCUAAAUAAUAGAUAAUCGCAGGGUUUAAGGGACAACACGAGCGGAACGAAAACGGGAAUCUCAAUCUAAACAUGCAAACGUUUGUCAUUCUAUGUGCAGUAAAGUAACCAAAAGUUGAGAUGAUCCAACAUUUUUUGAAUUCAACUUCAACACCAGGCCUAAACACGAGGGCCGCGCUUCAAGCAAUCUGAAAUCACGUCAAUGAAGAGAAGCACCAAGCAUCGGCAUGAAGAGUUGGAGCUGCAGCCCCAACACAACCGAGUACAAAGUGUCUUAGUCCAUUUGUCCCGGGGCUGAUGUCCUCGUCUUUUUACCUUCAUUCGAAUAGGGUUCUUGCAGAUGAGGAAUCUCUAAAACAUGCUACCGGACAAUAAGAUCAACGGGCCACCGUGUUCAGAGCGAUAGGAUGAGCCGCCUUUAUUUGAGGGUUCAAAGUGACGUCGUUGGUCAAAUGCGUUCUACUCGUUGCUGCUGACGCACAGUGCAGCAGGAUGCCGCGUCUGACUGGGAGUCAGUCGUCAGAUGGGUUCAAAAGCGAUGAAUAUUAAUUGUGAAUAUUAACGUUUUUUUUCUUGUUGCAGAAGGAGACGUAAACCCCCCCUCGGACGUUUCUUCUCAAAGGCAUCCGCCCAAGGGAACUGGUUUCAGAUGGUGUCUUAGAGUACAAACCCCUGUCUAGCACCAUUUGAAAUCGGUGGUCUUGGGCGGGAACAGGCUCCGGGAAUCACAUCAGCGGACGGCUGCAUUUACCCCGGAUGCAUCGGGAAUCCUUCCCUCACAAAGUAGUCCUCAGUGUCGUUUGCUGUGGAUCUCAGGUCGGGCCCCCCGGGGGGGCCAGAGGGACCGAAGGCGCCGGGGCGGCUUCUCGCACAGGCUGACCGCUUUCGUGUGGUGUUCAGAGUUCCCAACACGUCUAGCACCAUUCGAAAUCGGUUACUAUGUGCAGGGACUUCCAGCAGAGCAGGGUGAGCUGCCUCAGAGGACCAGAAGGUGGCAGCAGUGAGCUGGUGUCAUUUUGUCGAUAUCAUUUUACCGAGGGCUCUUAAGAUAUCACACGUUUAUUAAAUCAGAAUAUUAAAAACAACUUUCAUCGUGUUAUUGUAUAAAUUAGGCUCUGAAUGAUAUUUGAACAACCUCCUUGGCAGAAACAUGAUUUGACUGAAACUGUAAACCUUUGUGUAUUUAAUGGUUCCUGAAGGGGAGAUUUGUAGCUUGGAAUAUUAAAAAAAAAGGUAUUAAAAUAGUUUUGAGGACACUACAGGGGAAUAAGGUAAUAUAGGCUAAUAGAUAUAAUAAAACCUCCGCAGUUGAUUAUAGACAUUAAGCCAAUGUUUUUUUUGUGGUACAACCUUUCUGAAAUAUAAAGUUUAAAUAUGCAAAUGGGAAUCUAUUAGUAACUCAUGGUCAAUUUAGGGGGAAUCUACCGACAUGAAAGGAUAUAGUGGUAAAAUAAAGACCUAAAUGUCUAUUUUGUAUGCUUAAAUAAAAAUGGGUUAUUUCUCUAUAAUGUGUUUUUUGUGUUAUUACAUUGUCACUACAGGAAAAUUGACAUAAAAUAAUCCAAUUAUUAAUCUACACCCAAUUUAUUAUUGCACACAGUUGAGGCUUUACAACAGCCCUGCAGUAAAUCCUUUUCAGUGUGGUUAUUAUUUUGAUUUUUAAACAUAUUUAGAGAUCACGUUGGGAGUUUGGGGUGCUGCUGAAUUGAAUUGCUUCAUGCUGACAGGUGCUUUUAUUGUUUUGUCCACCCUCACAGUGUCCCUGUGUGUGUUUGAGCGUCACUAUUUGUGUAAAUGAGCAACAAAACCAGCAGUCGUUGUGCCAGCAUGCAACCAGCAUGCCAGCUGAUACCUGCCCUGCAGGGUUCAUCUGGCCUCCACUCCGGCUCUUUAAUCUCUCCCCACAACUCUUUCAACUUUCUCAAAAUAGAAUGUUUGAAAGCAAACUAAAGUGAAAAGUCCUAAUAUCCUCAUUGGGGCUUGAAAGGGGGGAGAACUUUCCCUGCCCCGCAUUAGCCGAGUGCGUUGCCAUAACAACGAUACACAAGGAAGUACCCAUUGAGUGUCUUGCUACUUGGUACGGAGAAUGUGAGUCACAAGGAGUGUCUCCGCUGAAAAAUCAUGACAUCAUCAGCUGCAUCAUCGUCAUCGCCAAUGUUUUGGUCCCACUGUCUGCAUCCCUGUCGUUGUUGUGCGUGACUGGUGUUUUGGGUUGGGUAAAACGACACUCAGGGUUUUCCUUCAACCUCAGCAGAUGUGGGCGGAGGACGGGAUGACAGAUGGCACGUAGCCGUCACGGAAAUAAA
ensembl:lncRNA